rnacentral:rRNA from 1 species
UACGUAGGGUGCAAGCGUUGUUCGGAUUUACUGGGCGUAAAGGGCGCGUAGGCGGCAAUUCAAGUCAGCUGUGAAAUCUCUGGGCUUAACCCAGAACGGCCAGCUGAUACUGCUUUGCUAGAGUGCAGAAGGGGCAAUCGGAAUUUUCUGGUGUAGCGGUGAAAUGCGUAGAUAUCAAGAGGAACACCUGAGGUGAAGACGGGUUGCUGGGCUGACACUGACGCUGAGGCGCGAAAGCCAGGGGAGCAAACGGG